GAGAGUUGUUGGGUUAAAUAAAGGAGUAAGAAGGUGGUGUUUGAGAUGAAGCCUGAAGAUAUGAGGCAGUGAACCCUGGAUGUUUCUGAAGGAGGGGGUUCCAGAGGGAGCGAACAGCAGAGGCGAUAAGGUGGAGAUGCUGAGGCAGCAUGGUGCUGGGGACUACGGGGAGAAGUCAGGAUGUGAACAUCUGUCCAUGAAUUUGAAGAGCUCUCCAGCUAGUUGGGAAGGCAGGACAUCCUGGGGAGACAAGCUGACAUGUCAUGAGGACACUCAAGCAGCCCAGUGACGAGAUCCAUGUGUCAAGGAACUGAGGUCUCCUUCCAACAGCCAUGUGAGCGACCUGUCUUGGAAUCGGCCCCUCCAGCCUGUCAAGCCUUCAGCUGACUGCAGGCCCAGCUGACAGCUUGACUGUAACCUCAUGAAAGACCCUGAGCCAGAACCACCCAGCUAAGACACGGUCAGAUUUCUGACCCACAGAAACUGUGUGAGCUAAUAAACAUAUGCUA